rnacentral:lncRNA from 1 species
UACACUCUCAACUUGAGUCCCUUAGGCUAGAAAAAGGAAAAUUUUCCACUUUCCUUGACAAAUGGGAUGACUCCUCUUUGCCAAAGGCUCAGAAACUUGGAAAAACAUGGGGUUCCCCCCCACCCUGGACAAAAGGGAGUUGAUUCCUGAUUAGUUCCCCAGUGAGAGCAAACAAAGUUGUGAUUUUGCAUUCAUCAUUGAAUACUUACAAACUCUAAUGAGACCUAAAGGACAUGCUCAUACUCCUUGGACUCCACUUUGAACGCUGGAAAGCCCCCUCGGGGAUACGGAAGGAGCUACGCUUCGCGAAGAGUCAGUCGAUUCACCGAGACUCUGAGGCCCGGCAGUCACAUAAAGCAGUAGAACCAGGAUCUGAACCCAGGUCAUCUGACUAUUGGAACUUCUCAUCUCAACACCAUAGCUUUUAGCUGCUAUUGGAACUUGUUUGAGACUCUCACUUUUCUGGGAAGGAACAAGACUUCCUGUCCUGAAAUUGGAUGGCUUCCUGCUGGAACCAGCAGUCCUGAUCUGGGAUGGAUACCAGGCUAGCUGGCCACCUAGAGAAAGAUGGUGAAAUCUAUUCCCAUCCCAAAUUCCAGGAAGACUGAUUAACUUAGCCAUCGGCAAGUGAUUUUGGAGUUGGAUACAAAAACCAAGUGUAGCUCAAGAGCUCCAACCAGAUAAAGGGGAAAAAUCCCUUUAGGAAGUAGAAAUGGAUACGUGUCCCUACAAAGGUCUUCUCCUCCAUUUUUUUCCUAAUUAAAACUCCUCAGCCAAAGGUUCUUGUUUCUUCAAGGGCGUAGAGGCUGUUUUCAUCAGACCCCUGCCCAGAUAUCCCUAUGUGUUCAUCCAGACUCUGAUAGGAUAAAAACUAUAUCCUCCAAUAUCAGCAAAUAGGAGUAAGAAUGAUAGCAUCAUGGAUUUUGAGUUGAAAGAGACCUUCGAGGUCAAGUGAUAUAGCUCUGAAUUUUACAAAUGAAGAAUUGAGGCUCAGAGAGGCAUAUGAAUGAAGGAGUGUCAAUGUGGCAUAGUGGAUAGAAUCAAUCAAUCAAUACUUAGUAAGCAUCUAAGCUGUGUCAGGCACUGAGCUAAAUGCUGGGAAUACAAAAAGAAACAAAAGACAGUCUUUGCCCUCAAGGAGCUUACAAUCUAAAAAUGUUCUUGGAGUUGGGUGGACCUGGGUUCUAGUCCCAAUCUUGAAAUAUUCUGCCUAUGUGAUGCUAUGAAAGUCAUUUAACCCUCAGCAAUUCUCUAAGACUUUAAGUUGCAAAGCAAGUGUUUAUCUGCAUUAGUAAAGGGAGUUCCCUCACCAGGAGAUUUGCCUAUGUCAAUGAAAUCACUGAUCUGUACCCCUUAACUUGCCACCCACCAAAUGAAUGUAAUAGAAUGGUAUUGUAUGGAAGGAAAUGACACAUAUAAGGAAUUCUGAGAAAUGUGGGAAGAUUUGUAU